rnacentral:tRNA from 2 species
GGCCUCGUGGCCCAAUGGCAAGGCGUCUGACUACGAGAGACGCUUCAGAAAUGAAGCCCUCACGGCCAUCAGGAGAUUCUGGGUUCGACCCCCAGCGAGGUCA